AGAUUCUCGCCCCCGCGCUCGAUUCGAAUCGAUCGCGUUUUCGCGGGGCGAAGUUGUCGCGGAUUGCGCGCGCGACGGCGCGAUCGCGCGACGCCAUCUUGUUCCUUUUUCGGACGAUCUCAUUUCACGUCGAUGUUUCCGGCGGCGGAUCGGCCGGCGAUUUUCCCCGUGAGAAACCUCGUUUUCGCAAGGGCGGCGGAUCUGGGGAGGCGGAUCGAGGUAACGUAAGGCUCGGACUCGGCGACGCGCCACGGAAUACUCCGUCGUUGUCGCCGAUAUGUUCGUCGCGCGCAGAUGCGCGGGAACGCGGCCGAGAAGGAAGUCUGGAGUUGAAAGGAGGAAGAGAGAGAGGGAGUGAGAUAGAGAGAAAGAGAGAGGGGGGAGACGACGGAACUAUUUCUCCUUUCCGGGUAUUCGACGCCGGAUUGCCUUCCAGUACCUAGUACAGCCGUCCGUUACAUGGUCAACCUAGCUGUUAAAUUCCGUCGCUGGCACAUCAUACUGGUGAGUUCGUUAUUUUAUUCUAAUUUAGGCUAAUGGAUCUAUGAAAAGUGUACCCGUUAAGAAUUGUAGCACGAGAAAAUAUUACCCUACAGCUCUACAAAUGGUUAGAUCUAUCUAUCAUAGAUUGUCUUAAAAAACGAGAUGAAAUAUGAGAUAUUUUACAUUUUUGGAACAUCACGAAAUUAUGGAAGAGGACUUUAAUUUUCAUAUAAAUAACACAUAAGUAGUGCGUACCGAUUAACGCAUAUCUCAUUUACGUUCUCCCAAAAAUUAUUACGCACGUCGCGCGGGGCAAUAAAAAAAAAUGUAACCGCGUGUACACAAGCGUGGUAUCGGGAUCUGACAAUUUCCGCGGCCAGGGCGUCGUAAAUC